UCCUACGGGGGGCAGCAGUCGGGAAUAUUGCGCAAUGGAGGAAAUUCUGACGCAGUGACGCCGCGUGCAGGAAGAAGGUUUUCGGAUUGUAAACUGCUUUAGACAGGGAAGAAACAAGACAGUACCUGUAGAAUAAGCUCCGGCUAACUACGUGCCAGCAGCCGCGGUAAUACGUAGGGAGCAAGCGUUAUCCGGAUUUAUUGGGUUUAAAGGGUGCGCAGGCGGUCUGUUAAGUCAGCGGUCAAAGCCCGGGGCUCAACCCCGGCCCGCCGUUGAAACUGGCAGUCUCGAGUUGGAGGGAAGUA
rnacentral:rRNA from 1 species